rnacentral:rRNA from 1 species
GCUCAGAUUGAACGCUGGCGGCAUGCCUUACACAUGCAAGUCGAACGGCAGCACGGGGCAACCUGGUGGCGAGUGGCGAACGGGUGAGUAAUAUAUCGGAACGUACCCUGGAGUGGGGGAUAACGUAGCGAAAGUUACGCUAAUACCGCAUACGAUCUAAGGAUGAAAGUGGGGGAUUCGCAAGAACCUCAUGCUCCUGGAGCGGCCGAUAUCUGAUUAGCUAGUUGGUGGGGUAAAGGCUCACCAAGGCUUCGAUCAG